GAUAGGCUAUUUUGCACCCAAUGCAAGACCAGCUACUUGCACUUCUCCAAAGCAAAAAAUUGUCAACUUUGUGUGUCUCUUUCUCCCCCAACUUCUUUGUCCUUUCUUUCCCUUUAACCCAGUCUCUUUGUGUGUCUCUUUCACCCAAGCCCCUUUAUGUGUGUCUUUUUCCCCACAGCCCUUUUUUGUGUUCUUUCUCCUCAGCCCCUUUUUAUGUAUCUUGCCCACAGACCCUUUGUGUUCUCUCUCCAGCCCCCUUCUGUGUCUCAACCCAGCCCAUUUGUGUGUCUUUCUCCCCUAGCCCCUUUGCAUGUCACUACCACACAGUCACUUUGCAUGUCUAUUUUCCCCUGCCCCCCUGUGUGUGUAAUUGUCCCCUUACACAGUUCCUCUCUGUGUGUCACUGUGCCACUUUCCAAACCCUGUCUGUGUGUCAUUGUCCCCUUCCACAGCCACUUUGUGUCCCCAUAAGCCCUUCUGUGUGUCUCUUUGUAAUCCUCAGCACAUCUGCAUGUCUUUGUCCUCCCAGCCCUCUGUGUGACUCUUUGUCCCCCCCAAGCCCCUCUUUGUGCCUCUUUGUCCCCCCGACCAUAUGUGUGUUUGUUUGUCCAUCCUCAGCGCUGUGUGAGUCUCCCCCUCAGACCUUCUGUGAGUCUCUUUGCCCCCCCCCCAGCAUCUCUAUGUUUACAUUCAUGUAGCUUGGCAGAUCGGACAGUGGUAGAGGAUCUUCUAUUUCGUCUAUUGGGUCUGACAGGAAGCUGCUUGUUGCUCUCAGCGAGCGGCCUUCUGUCAGAAAGGAUAGAAAGGAUACCGAAGAUCAACUAUAGUGGUCCAAUGUUACAUGCAGUGACUGGCAGAAGGAGCGCUGUGGAGUGCUCUCCCCACCUGUCAAUCAUCUGUAGAUUGUGCCCCCUGCAUUGAUAUGCCAUAAGUGGCUGCCUAGUUGUCACGGGUGGCGGUACAGAAACCGGGAUCCCUGAGUGUCUGAUGAUAAGUGGGAGUCUUUAGCAUGAGAGUGGAUUUAUCCGGGCCUGGUGCAGGAUAACCACACGCCCCCUGGUGUUGAGCACCAGCGUUUGUGCGGCCACAUACCAGAACCCUGAUUCAGCUUAUGCGGUCCCAGGAACUAGGAGCAGGAAUUAAGCAGACCUCCCAGAGCUGAAUAGGGUGGCUCUGCAGCAGGAUUGUAUCCAGUACAGAAACAAAGCAAGGCUAGGAUAGUCACCAAACAUGAAAACAAGACAGAACUAGUAGAACCCAGAACUGGAGAAGGAUAGGAAGCUAAACCCAGCACAUGUACACAAUACAUUAGGGAAACAGACAUAACAUGGGCUGGACAGGACAGGACUAUACAUGGACUGGGAAUACAAACUAAAACAAGACAAG